GCCGGACCGCCCCGAGCGGGCUCUGAUCGCUGUAUCCGGAGCUUCCUUCGUUUCGUGCGUCUCAAAAUGUCCGCGUCUCCUCUUUUGUAACAGUCCCCGUUGUGUCUUUGGGCUCCGCUUUAAAUAAACGCUUCGGCCGAAUGGAAAUGGCAAAAUUAGAUCAUCCGGCAUCUAAUAAAGGCUGAUGAAAUGAAGUGACUCGAGUCGUUCUUAGUGCUGUGCAACGCGUAUGGAAACCACACUUAUGUAUGGCAUCAACUACGCGAUGAGGAAGAGAGGAUUUGUAACAGUUAAAGAGUCUGAAAGCAGACGAAAACUGCUGUGGAUAUACUGAGCUUCGCUGUUCUGCAGUGGCUCGUAACUUUCCUUGAUGCGUUUCAAAAUACAGCCACAGAAUCGAAAUGUUUUGAUGCUAAAAUAAAGGUUUUGUCUCUGAUUUAAUGUUUUAGAGUGUCUCCCAAGAUGGAAUCCCAGUCCCUGACUCAGGCACAACCAACAGCAGUCCUACAGACGGCACCUAAUGAGAGCUCUCACAAACGCACAUCCCGCUGCUUCUUACUGAUGAGACCUGAUUUUUUCCUUGCUUAUUUGUGGCUCAGCAUGAAGCCCCGCUGGCCACAAGAGAAGAUGCGGGGUUGUAGCUGUUUGGUGAGACGUGCUGAAGCCGGUUGUAAGAAUUCCUGCAGCAGCAAUAAAUACUGCAUUAAUUUGGGGGGGAUUAAUGGGAUUUUUAUUUUUUUGCCUGUUGCAAUUCUGUCGAGGAUGCUUUUGUUACAUGGAGAAAAAUACCCCCAACUCUGAUUUUUGUGGUCUCAAGUGCUGCGCUUUCAAAUAAUUCCCCGUCUUUCAUGUGAUCUUGUCACCUUGCAUUAUCCUUAAGUACAAAUGCAAUACUGCUGUUUUAUCACUGAGAUUUAAUGUUUUUAAAUAAGAUGUUUUCACUCUGAAAUAUCUCUAUUUAAGGGGGAAAAAAAAAAAAGGAAUUCUUUUCCUUCUUUGGGUAUAACAAUCGUUUGAGUAAAAAAUGAAAAUCUCAGAUUAUUUUAAUCUGGUAAUUUAGUUGUUUUAACACUGAUAGCACUGCGUAUUCUUUUUGCAGAUACGAAGAGUCUUACAGCAUUCUGUGACUUUCAAAUGGGAAUAUUCACAUACAUUCACUACAAUAAUGUUGUUAAAAGAAAGAUUACUAGAAUUUGCUGCUAAUAAAGCUGAGACAUAAAACUGA